UACAGAGGUCCCAAGCGUUGUUCGGAUUCACUGGGCGUAAAGGGUGCGUAGGUGGCGGGGUAAGUCGGAUGUGAAAUCUCGAAGCUCAACUUCGAAACUGCAUUGGAAACUACCUUGCUUGAGGGUUGGAGGGGGGACUGGAAUACUUGGUGUAGCGGUGAAAUGCGUAGAUAUCAAGUGGAACACCAGUGGCGAAGGCGAGUCCCUGGACAACUCCUGACACUGAGGCGCGAAAGCGAGGGGAGCAAACGGG
rnacentral:rRNA from 1 species